AUCCAGUGACGAGUCCCAAAUAGGACGAAAUGCGCGUUAUCCAGGAU
rnacentral:hammerhead_ribozyme from 1 species